rnacentral:rRNA from 1 species
UACGUAGGUGGCAAGCGUUGUCCGGAAUUAUUGGGCGUAAAGAGCGUGUAGGCGGCUAUACAGGUCCGCUGUGAAAAUCCGGGGCUCAACCCCGGACUGCAGUGGGUACGGGCAGACUAGAGUGUGGUAGGGGAGACUGGAAUUCCUGGUGUAGCGGUGAAAUGCGCAGAUAUCAGGAGGAACACCGAUGGCGAAGGCAGGUCUCUGGGCCGAUAUUGACGCUGGAGGAGCGAAAGCCGUGGGGAGCAAACAGG